UGGGGAAUUUUGGACAAUGGGCGAAAGCCUGAUCCAGCCAUGCCGCGUGCAGGAUGAAGGCCUUCGGGUUGUAAACUGCUUUUGUACGGAGCGAAAAGCCUCUUUCUAAUAAAGAGAGGUCAUGACGGUACCGUGAUAGAAUAAGCACCGGCUAACUACGUGCCAGCAGCCGCGGUAAUACGUAGGGUGCAAGCGUUAAUCGGAAUUACUGGGCGUAAAGCGUGCGCAGGCGGUUUUGUAAGACAGAGGUGAAAUCCCCGGGCUCAACCUGGGAACUGCCUUUGUGACUGCAAGGCUGGAGUGCGGCAGAGGGGGAUGGAAUUCCGCGUGUAGCAGUGAAAUGCGUAGAUAUGCGGAGGAACACCGAUGGCGAAGGCAAUCCCCUGGGCCUGCACUGACGCUCAUGCACGAAAGCGUGGGGAGCAAACAGGAUUAGGAUACCCUGGUAGUCCACGCCCUAAACGAUGUCAUCUGGUUGUUGGGUCUUCACUGACUCAGUAACGAAGCUAACGCGUGAAGUUGACCGCCU
rnacentral:rRNA from 1 species